UACAGAGGGUGCAAGCGUUGUUCGGAAUUACUGGGCGUAAAGCGUACGUAGGCGGCUUUGUAAGUUAGAGGUGAAAGCCCGGAGCUCAACUCCGGAAUUGCCUUUAAGACUGCAUCGCUAGAAUCGUGGAGAGGUGAGUGGAAUUCCGAGUGUAGAGGUGAAAUUCGUAGAUAUUCGGAAGAACACCAGUGGCGAAGGCGGCUCACUGGACACGUAUUGACGCUGAGGUACGAAAGCGUGGGGAGCAAACAGG
rnacentral:rRNA from 1 species